AUGGCGACCCGGUGGCUCUUGCUUCUUCUCAGUAUCGCCGCGAGCAGCGUCGUUCUUCAGGUCCAUGGCCAGAUCGACAAGUUAGCCGGUUUCAUAAGCAUAGACUGCGGCCUGCCGGAGAAUGCCGCUGGCUACGUGGACAACACGACGAAGCUGCGGCUCACCGGGGACGCUGGCUUCAUCGAUGCAGGCACUAACCAUAACAUCUCUGCCGAGUACAUCACCCCGAGGCUGGCUCGGGGCUGGCACACCGUGCGCAGUUUCCCUGUCGGCGAGCGCAACUGCUACACGCUCCGGCCACUUGUGUUGCCGGGGCCCAAGUAUCUCGUCCGCGCCAUGUUCAAGUAUGGCAACUACGAUGGUCUUGACAUGCUUCCCAUCUUUGACCUUCACCUCGGGGUUAACUAUUGGAAGACGGUGAACAUCUCGGAUGCAAGCUCACCGGUGAUGGAGGAAGUCAUCGCCGUUGUCCCAGGCGGCUCCGUGCAGGUGUGCCUGGUGAACACCGGCUCCGGAACGCCGUUCAUUUCCAGCCUGAGCCUAAGGCCCCUCACCAAAGCGCUCUACCCGCAGGCUAACGCGACACAGGGGCUGGUUGUUGUCAAGAGGUCACUAGGGCUACGCCGAGUGCCACGGACACUCGGUAAAGGGCUGAAAACCGCUGGCAAAGCCUUUGCCGAGUGUCACCCUCGGCGAAAGCCACCCGGCGUACACCUUUUCGGCAAACAGGAUUUUGCCGAGAGCCAGAACACGGGCACUCGGCAAAGACUUUGCCGAGAGCCAAACAGUACCACUCGGCAAAAUAAAGUAGCUAACGGAUAG
rnacentral:rRNA from 1 species